rnacentral:lncRNA from 10 species
UGACACCUCAGGGCAGUGAAGGCUUUGAUAUGCGUGAGGAGGCAUCGGGUCAGCAGAUGGAGGAGUCCAGGCCCUGUUCUAGGCAAGAUAAGUACUCUGAGUGAAGUUUGAGGGAACCACCCACCACAGAUUGGAGGGACUCCCACAGAGUCCAACCCCUGAUUUCAGCCCUGUUAGAUCCCAGACAGGGAUCAUUUGAUUUAGUACCUUCUGAAUUCCCUCAGUGAGGACUCUGGGAGCUGAGAGUCAGCAGAUGGAGGCGUCCAGGCUCUGCCACACGUUAAGCCUACUCAACACAAAGAAGAUGAAUAUGAAGACCUUUGUGAUGAUCCACUUCACUUAAUGAAUAGUUGUAGGCAAAGCCAGCUGCCAUUUCAUAAGAACACUCAGGCAACACUAUGGAGCUGUUCAUUGGCAAGGAAAUUAGUUCUCCUGCCGUAACCAGCAAGGAACUGAAGCUCUUGCUAACAGCUAUGUGAAUUAGUUAUUUUGGAAGCAGAUCCUCCAACUCCAGUCAAGCCAGCUGACAUACAGCACUAGCUGACAUCAUGAUUGCAACCAUGUGAGAAGAUUCGGGUCAGAGCCACCCAGAUGCUGAAACCUGAAGUCAGCAGGGAAGUCAGGAAGAGGAGAUGAUGCAAAGCAGAGGAAGCAAGGAUAAAUGGAAUCCAUGAGGACUAUCUGGAGCUCUCAAGGACUGACUGGGACCCAUGUUGAUCUUCCACUGCCUCCAAACCUCCAAUUUCAAUGACAUCAAUGCCCUGAAAAAAAAAAGUGGGCGUUCUUUUUUAUGGAGCUGGUGAAGAAGGAGGAAGAUAUGAGGGAGAACUGGAGCAAUUGUGGGCCCAACUGCUGCCUCACACCAAGCAGAGAACCCUGAAGGAAGAGGUGCCAGGAGAGAUGAAAGGAAAUAUCAUGGGAAUGGAGUGCUGUUCAGCCUGCGGAAUGUCUGGAAUAUCUGAGAAGCAGCAGGACAACAGUCGAUGCCUCUAGGUAGAUGUGCCUUCUGACAAAGCGAAGAUGGUGGGAAUAAAAGUCAAUUGAAUAUCUACCAGACAAGAUAGAAUUUGCAUAUCCAUCAGUUACAAAGAGGGAAGAAGUAGCUCAAAGACAAUGAAAAGGACCAAAAUCUGAUAAUCCAUAAAGAUCUAUAGUGAGAAGCUGAACCAUAACUGAAACACUGCUAAGGAAGCAUGGGAUGAUGAGAGAAGACACAUUCAUCUUAGGAUGUAUUCGUUAACCAUAAGAUUUGGAACAUUACCACUACCCA